rnacentral:rRNA from 1 species
GAUGAACGCUGGCGGCGUGCCUAAUACAUGCAAGUCGAGCGAACAGACGAGGAGCUUGCUCCUCUGACGUUAGCGGCGGACGGGUGAGUAACACGUGGAUAACCUACCUAUAAGACUGGGAUAACUUCGGGAAACCGGAGCUAAUACCGGAUAAUAUAUUGAACCGCAUGGUUCAAUAGUGAAAGACGGUUUUGCUGUCACUUAUAGAUGGAUCCGCGCCGCAUUAGCUAGUUGGCAAGGUAACGGCUUACCAAGGCAACGAUGCGUAGCCGACCUGAGAGGGUGAUCGGCCACACUGGAACUGAGACACGGUCCAGACUCCUACGGGAGGCAGCAGUAGGGAAUCUUCCGCAAUGGGCGAAAGCCUGACGGAGCAACGCCGCGUGUGUGAUGAAGGUCUUCGGAUCGUAAAACUCUGUUAUUAGGGAAGAACAAAUGUGUAAGUAACUAUGCACGUCUUGACGGUACCUAAUCAGAAAGCCACGGCUAACUACGUG